rnacentral:lncRNA from 1 species
UUGGCCAAAAAAAAUUAUGAGAUUUCAAUAAAGAAAAACUUUCAUAUUAUCAUUUUGAAUGGUGUUACUGUGAUGUAUGGAUAAUUGAACAAUAGUAUUUAUGUUGUAUCAUGAUCUAGUAUAAUGUACACGUCAAAUAAAUAUCCUAGAAUAGAUAAUGUCAUGGAUGCCUACCUUUGGCAUUGUAGGCUAGGUCAUAUUAACAGAAACUGGAUGAAUAGGUUAGUCC